CUACCAGUCCAAGAUUUAGGGAUUAGCCAGUUGUGUCAAGGUGUUAUUUUUUAUUUUUUUUCUAAUAAGACAUUAGACACAACGGGGUAAUCCCUAAAUCUUGGACUCCUAGGCGUUUGGAAACCACUGCCCUAGGCAGUAAUACUGUAGGUAUACCCUUGGCCAGGCAUAGGUAACCUUCGGCACUCCAGAUGUUCGGAAC